rnacentral:rRNA from 1 species
GUUGGUCUUCAACGAGGAAUGCCUAGUAAGCGCGAGUCAUCAGCUCGCGUUGACUACGUCCCUGCCCUUUGUACACACCGCCCGUCGCUCCUACCGAUUGAAUGGUCCGGUGAAGUGUUCGGAUCGCGGCGACGGGGGCGGUUCGCCGCCCCCGACGUCGCGAGAAGUCCAUUGAACCUUAUCAUUUAGAGGAAGGAGAAGUCGUAACAAGGUUUCCGUAGGUGAACCUGCGGAAGGAUCAUUG